rnacentral:rRNA from 1 species
GACGAGGGGUCCAAGCGUUGUUCGGAAUCAUUGGGCGUAAAGCGGGUGUAGGUGGCUCUAUAAGUCAGAAGUGAAAGCCCCGGGCUUAACCCGGGAAUUGCGAUGGAGACUGCACGGCUAGAGUGUGUCAGAGGGGGGUAGAAUUCCACGUGUAGCAGUGAAAUGCGUAGAUAUGUGGAGGAACACCGAUGGCGAAGGCAGCCCCCUGGGAUAACACUGACGCUCAUGCACGAAAGCGUGGGGAGCAAACAGG